rnacentral:rRNA from 1 species
GAUGAACGCUGGCGGCGUGCCUAAUACAUGCGAGUCGAGCGAACGGACGAGAAGCUUGCUUCUCUGAUGUUAGCGGCGGACGGGUGAGUAACACGUGGAUAACCUACCUAUAAGACUGGGAUAACUUCGGGAAACCGGAGCUAAUACCGGAUGAUAUUUUGAACCGCAUGGUUCAAAAGUGAAAGACGGUCUUGCUGUCACUUAUAGAUGGAUCCGCGCUGCAUUAGCUAGUUGGUAAGGUAACGGCUUACCAAGGCAACGAUGCAUAGCCGACCUGAGAGGGUGAUCGGCCACACUGGAACUGAGACACGGUCCAGACUCCUACGGGAGGCAGCAGUAGGGAAUCUUCCGCAAUGGGCGAAAGCCUGACGGAGCAACGCCGCGUGAGUGAUGAAGGUCUUCGGAUCGUAAAACUCUGUUAUUAGGAAAGAACAUAUGUGUAAGUAACUGUGCACAUCUUGACGGUACCUAAUCAGAAAGCCACGGCUAACUACGUG